rnacentral:snRNA from 1 species
GUGCUCGCUUCAGUAACGCACAUCCUAAACUUGGAACGAUACAGAGAAGAUUAGUGCCCCCCCCCAGCCCCCGUGCAAGGAUGACAUGCAAACUUGUUCCAUAUUUUA